AUCCCAUCAUUCUUGAAUAGCUUACAACAAAAGCAAAAUACUUUAUCCAAACUUUUUGAAUAUAUCAACCAUUUUCUAUCAUACUUCUCUCCAUUAGGUAAUCGUCGAACGUAAUGUGUGGAUGAGAAGUGUCGAUUUGCUCCAUCUUUCGGAAAAAUUAGAUCAUUUUCUCUUACAGGACCUUUCAUUACAAUUAAAUCUCUUAAAUUCGUAUUCAUAUUUCCCCAAUUUGCUGGAUCAACAAGGUCAAGAGAAAAUUGUUCAUUAUCUUUGUCAGUAGAUACCUCUUCAUUCAUCGCACAAUAUCCUUCUUCAAUUAUAUCAUUAUUGUUGUCAUUCUCA
rnacentral:lncRNA from 1 species